AUUGAACGCUGGCGGCAUGCUUUACACAUGCAAGUCGGACGGCAGCACAGAGAAGCUUGCUUCUUGGGUGGCGAGUGGCGAACGGGUGAGUAAUAUAUCGGAACGUACCGAGUAAUGGGGGAUAACUAAUCGAAAGAUUAGCUAAUACCGCAUAUUCUCUGAGGAGGAAAGCAGGGGACCUUCGGGCCUUGCGUUAUUCGAGCGGCCGAUAUCUGAUUAGCUAGUUGGUGGGGUAAAGGCCUACCAAGGCGACGAUCAGUAGCGGGUCUGAGAGGAUGAUCCGCCACACUGGGACUGUGACACGGCCCAGACUCCUACGGGAGGCAGCAGUGGGGAAUUUUGGACAAUGGGCGCAAGCCUGAUCCAGCCAUGCCGCGUGUCUGAAGAAGGCCUUCGGGUUGUAAAGGACUUUUGUCAGGGAAGAAAAGGCUGUUGCUAAUAUCGACAGCUGAUGACGGUACCUGAAGAAUAAGCACCGGCUAACUACGUG
rnacentral:rRNA from 1 species